UGGGUGAUAGAAAAGCGGUAAUUCACCAGGCUCUGACCCUGGCAUGCGUAGGUUCGAAUCCUACUCACCCAGCCA
rnacentral:tRNA from 1 species